rnacentral:rRNA from 1 species
GACGAACGCUGGCGGCGUGCCUAAUACAUGCAAGUCGAGCGGACAGAAGGGAGCUUGCUCCCGGAAGUUAGCGGCGGACGGGUGAGUAACACGUGGGCAACCUACCUUGUAGAUCGGGAUAACAUCGAGAAAUCGGUGCUAAUACCGGAUAAUCAUUUGAAGUGCAUGCUUCAAAUGUAAAAGAUGGCUCCGGCUAUCACUACGGGGUGGGCCCGCGGCGCAUUAGCUAGUUGGUAAGGUAAUGGCUUACCAAGGCAACGAUGCGUAGCCGACCUGCGAGGGUGAUCGGCCACACUGGGACUGAGACACGGCCCAGACUCCUACGGGAGGCAGCAGUAGGGAAUCUUCCGCAAUGGACGAAAGUCUGACGGAGCAACGCCGCGUGAGUGAUGAAGGUUUUCGGAUCGUAAAGCUCUGUUGUUAGGGAAGAACAAGUGCCGUUUGAAUAAGGCGGCACCUUGACGGUACCUAACCAGAAAGCCACGGCUAACUACGUGCCAGCCGCCGCCGUAAUAC